ensembl:snRNA U6 U6 spliceosomal RNA
GUGCUCACUUCGCAGCAUGAAUACUAAAAUUGGAACGACACAGAGAAGACGAGCACGGCUUCUGCACAGGAAAGGCAUGGAAAUUCGUGAAAAGUGUUCCACAUUUAU